AUGUUUGUCUAUGAUCCUUACUUUAUGACUUAGAUCGAUUGAACAUAACUCCAAUGAUCAUCUUUUCACAGUCCCAAACCCUUACUGCAAAUGCAAGAAUUCCAAAUUCAUGCCAUUUACCGAAAUUUGUUAGAUUCUAAACUUAUAUGCAUUGAUCCUCUUGUAAUGAUUAUGCACAAAUUCACUUGGAAACCAUAAUUAUAGAGUAUUCCAAAGGAGAUCAACUCCUUGGAAACAUCCUUGUUACAUUAAGUUUCUUAAUCUUACACAGAUUGAUUGAACAACUUUCUAUCUUUGAACCAUUUCCAUAUUCCACUUUGACUAUCAGUNUUUGAAACAUUUCCAGAUUCCAUUUUGACUAUCACUUCUGAACAAGAGUUGCCUCCUUACAGAUUAUGUCAAUAUGGUCCUUCCAGAAUUAUCACUAUACUUCCAAUUGUCCUUGAGUAACCAAUCUUUGGUAAACCUUAGAUUGUCCUCGACAAUUGUUUAAUCCUUUUAGUCAUAUCCAGUUCUAAACCUUUUCCCUUCUUAAUGCCCCAGGCAUUUGGAAAAUUUUGAAAAGGAUAAAUAUAGCACAUGUAAUCGAUCCUAUAUCCGAAGCAUAUGGGAAACGAUCCAUGAUGUCUCACAUAAAGACUAAACCAGUCUUUUGCUAUAAUAUUUCCAUUUCAAUUUGCCAAGUUCUCAUAAUUCAGAUUAUGAAAAGGGAUGCCGUAAUCAUAAUCGAAUUUUAGAACGCAAAUAAUGGACCCAUAUACAGAAUUUCCUUAUGUUGAGCCAUUCCAACAUGAAAUUCAUAUAUAUCCUUGACUAAAUGAUUAAAACCUCACGAUCUAAGCUUAUAGAUUUGAGAUGAAGCAUAAUUUCCUCUCCCUUAAUUAUAGCAAAACAACUUUUUCCCAAUUGAAACUUUUGUUUUCUAUAAUUAACAUUGCUAACUUGCAAUACUUAUCAUAAUUAUCAUGCUCCCACUAACAUGAUGAUUAUUAGCAUAACACUUAUGCUCCCACUAGCUUUGACAUGUACUCAGAAAUCAGCUGGACAGUCUGAAAUUUAGAUUCAUACACCCUUUCCGUAGAUAGCUCACCUGUGUGUCUAAGCAAUUUCAAGAACCAUGAAAAGGGAUACCGUAAUCAUGGUCUCAAUUGCUUAGGCAUUUGCCAUUUCUCACAAGUCCAUGUUAGUGUGCCGGUUAACCACACGCGCUCCACUAACGACUUUUGAAAAUGCAAAUAACACAAUUGAUAUCUUCGUAAAAUCUACUUAGUGAAAGCGUUUCCUCACCAUCAUUUUCAUGAAUCGGAGAGAAACCUUAUGACACUUAGAUUUAUAUGGUGUAUGAGUUCCUACCCAUAUGAAUUUGUCAAACCAUAAUCACAAGACAAAGAUAAUGACAAAUCCAAAACCAUAUGGAUUGAACUCAAUCUUAACUUCUUGCCACCUGGCAGCUCAAGGGCCUGCCAUUGCUUCCAAGUUGUUAUGCAACAAACUGAGAACUCUAAGAACUCAUAUGCAAAGCCAACUUUAACUGGAAUGGGCACAGAUAUGUCAACACGAUAGGUUAUAAACCUCAAGUCGUGUGCUAGUGAAGAACUUUAGGUUUUAUUCUUGAUUAUUUCUUGAGACUUUCAAGACCUUUAAGACUCCCACUGUCCUCUUGACAUAUAAGACUCCCUUGUCAAACAUCCAAGAGAUAGUGCGGAUUCUAAUCAAGAAAAACACUUUACCCAAUUGGCCUAAGUUGGUCUUUGUUUUAUCCAAAACAUCACAACUUACCAAUUUCAAAUGUACAAGAGUAGAAAACUUUUACUCUUACAUUUGACAAGUGUUUUAAACCUUCUUUAAGACAUGUCACUCAAAUGACAAUCUUGGAGUAUGACUCUAAGACUUGUAUUGGAACGAAGUAUGACUCAUCUUCUUGAUUUAACCAUUUCAACAAUUCAAGUUCCUCUUCUUAGUCAUAAGAAUGCACUAAGAUUUCCUUAGAGAACUAAUUUUGAUAUGGUUUCUUAAUCAUUAAGAUGAUCACAAAACUGAUACUAAAGUACUCUCCCAUCUUUUCAGAUUUGAGAAACUUUUAUCCUUCUGCCUUAUUUGAUUCUUCUUAUCGAUCUUUAGUGGUGGACUUAAUCAGUGCACAAGAAUGUGUACUCGAUCCCUAAGUCCUUUACUUGACUCACACAUCCAUGUGAACAAGUAAUUAGUCUUAAUUUUCCAAAACUUGAAAGUUCUCAUUCAUCAUGCUAUACAACUUGCAUGAUUCCAAGUUCCGGUCCAAUUGAAACUUGGGUGAUGAGAAUCUUUCCUUAUUUGGUAAAUUUAGACAUUACCACAAAUGAAAGAAUCAAUUUCAUAUUUCCACUCUUGCUCUUAAUGGAAUCAUAUAAGCAACAAUUUUUCCUCAAAUGCCAUUGUAAGGAUAUUUUAAAAUAAAUAAAAUAAAAAAUUUUCUUUUAUUUUAAAACUUUGCGGAAAAACUUAUCCUUACAAUCCAUAUGAAAACUUGUUGUUAUCUAUUCCUAAGCAAUAUCUCAUAACUCCUAAGAAGUAGCUCAAGAAUCCGAUCUUCAAACUAUGCGAUAGAAAUCCAUCUACGCCAUCAGAUUCAGCAUAUUCUUUCUUUAAGUUUCUUCACUUUUCUUUGAUUCUUAAAACAUCACCAUGUGACCCAGUCACAUCAUGUAUCAAGAAUCUCAGAAUAGAAACUUAACAGAGUUAGAUAGUGGACUUUACCUGAAGUAGAGUCAAACUUAUUGACUUUAACAUCCUUAGGUAAAUUUGGCAGCUUCGCAACCAAUGCCCCUUCCUUUGGCAAUAUAAACAUAUGGACCCUUUGAUAAUGGUACACGGGACUAUCACAGACUUAGCUUUUCUCUUUACCAUUUGGUCAACCGAGUUGACUAUGGCCGAUCCCUUUCCAUUGGGAAGAGAAUGCUUUACUGGAUAUCCAAUGUCAUCAUUGUCAAUGUCCAUAAAGUUUUAGGAAGUUGAUCUUAGCAAAUAGAUAAGAUCAUUAAGGGUCUUGUCAUAGUCUGUUUCAUAGGUGUCCCAAAGGAACUCACUAUGUGACUUAGAAAGUGGUUGAACCACCAACUUUCUCAAGACUUUGACACCCAACUCUCCCGGCUUGUCAAUAUGUGACUACAUCUCCAAGAUGUGACCACACCUAGACCUUGCCUUGCCAAUAGGGCCUGAGUGACCUUAAACUUUUCAAGAACUUGUGGGUUAGGGAGAAUAAUUUGAAGAGGUGAAGAAGUAUGAUAUCCAUGGGACAUCAUCUUCAUUAGGAAACCUUGUUUCAAGAGAUUUGGGAAGAUCAUAGGUGUCUAAACCAGACAUCUUUUGGGAGAUAUUCAAGAUAGUUGAUUUAAAGUCCUUAAUAUGACACCCAAUAUGAAAUAUUAAGGCUAGGACCCAACAAACUAUUUUAUAACUUAGAAGAGGUAUGCCGUAAUCCAAGCUAUAAAAUAUUUGAAGGUAGGUGAAUGACGAUUCACCAAUUUCCACCAAGAUAAACGAAAUGUAUUAUUAGGUUUUAAUUGGUUUUGAAACUCCUAGAUCUUUGAGAUUCAUUGAACUUUUCAAAGGCAUGUUUCAAUCUCGAGUGUGCCCUUCAGGUUUUGUGACUGGGAUGCCGAGGAUCACAAAACAAGGUGUGAAGUAACCAUGCAAAUCACUUGGUACCCUUAAUAAAUUACCCCUCAAUCGAUGUGCCGGUUAACCACACACGCUCCAUCGAUACUAUGAUAAAUAUUAAGUCACCCUUUACCUACCUUGUUAAGUCCAAGUUAGUGUGCCGGUUAACCACACACGCUCCACUAACGACUUAGACAAAGUGUAAAGUGUAAUUUCAUGGAUUAGCACCUUAUUCACAUUUUUCCUAAGUAACUAAGAUUGGGUAUUAUUAAGAGUUUAGUUACUUAGUAUUAUCAUUAAUACUUUUAAUGAAGGGAGAAUUCUAGUCCUGUCAAACCCGUUCGGCUAACGACCCUCCACCAGUCAAGCAAGCGGUGGGUGAGAGUGGACACCCAUUAAGUUGCCAUUUUAUAGGCAACAACCUUAUACCCACCUUAUAGACCGGCUUCGUGAAUGAGGCGUACUAGCGGUAAGACUGACUUUACUCUUAUACAUAUAUAUAUUAUUAACUUAUAAUAUUAUAAAGUAUAAGGGUUGAAUUUUAACUUUUAAAAUUCUAAGGGCUAACUUGGAAUUAAAGUAUUCAUACUUGAAAACUUUUCAAAUUCCAAAACUUGAGGGCAAGUUUUGAAACUAUUCAAAACUAAUUAAUUCCAUAACUUAUGUGUUUAAAGUAGUUUUAAUCCAAAAACUCUUCAAGUUCCAUAACUUGAGGACAAGUUAUGGAAGACUUUAAACUAAUAAAAGAACUAACUUUUUCUUUAUUUUAUAACUUAUGGAUUUAAUUAUGGUUACAUAUUUUUCUUUAAUGAAGUGACUCUUGAACUUCCAUAACUUGAGGACAAGUUAUGGAGUCAAAAAAAAUUAUUCAAUGACACAAGACUCUUCAUUUUGUAACCAUUGCCAACUUUUAUGAGUUUUAUGAGUCUUUAAUGUGACUCUUCAUGUAACUUGAGGACAAGUUACACAAACACAUUUUAUACUCAACUCUUAGAUUAAAAUGGAUUGAAAACAACUAUUUCACUCAACAUUUCUAUUAAUCUAAGCAACUCAUAAGAACAAGAUAAUUCAAAUCAAACUUUUUCAUGUAAUUAGUCUAAACCUUAAACUAAUACAAAACAUGAAUCUAUUGACAAUUAUCUUUGAAAAUGGAUUAGCAUGAACAUUACCACAUCAAAAACAAGUUUAUAAGUUCAAAAACAACUUAGGGUAAUGUUCCUAGUCCAUUUCUAGCCAAAAAACUCGAAAAUAUGCUGUCUGGGGGUCCAACUCGUCGAGUGCAUGAACAAACUCGGCGAGUUGGAUCGAAUUCAUCACUUUUUAGGCAUGGACUCGUCGAGUCUCCUGAUGGACUCGCCGAGUCUGAUGGCCAGACAGCACCAGAUUCGUUUUUUCAGCUUCUAUUGCAGGUAUAACAAGAAAACAAGCCUAGGCUCUGAUACCACUGUUGGGUUUUGAGCAUUCUAACACUCCUAAGUGUACAUGCAACCCUAAAUACCUUGGAUCUAUGUUUUCUCUAUUAUACAUGCAAAUAAGAACUUCCAAGGUAUUAUCCUAAUCUAGCAUACAAAACAAUGACUAUAGCAAGAUAGAAUACAUACCUCUUUGAUGUAGAAAGUCUUCAUGAAGCUUGAGUGCCUAGUGCCCCAAGUGUGACACCUCAAAUGGAAUCACAAUCAUCAAAACACUUGGAAUGACUUGAGAGAAUUCUACACUCUUCAAAAUCGGCUAGCCCUUUCUUCACUAUCACUAGUGGCCGAUUUUUCCUCAAUAAUAAGAUGCUUAUAUAGUUACACAAUUAGGGUAAACUCUUAAUUGUCAUGGCUUUCCAUUUCCUUGGAUCCAUGGGUACAAAUACACCAUGGAGCAUCCAUGGACCAUCCUAUGGGUUUUAGCCCAACUUGAUUAUCCAUGGAGCAUUAGCCCACUAUACAAGUAUGGAUGAUUUACACAAUCAACCCAUAUAUUUAAUUAGUCUUCUUUUGAUCACUUAAUUAAUCCUAGAUUAAUUCUUGAUCAAUACUAAUUAAAUAAUCUUAUUAUUCUUAUUAUUAAUAUACUAGAACUUAUAAUAUAUUAAUAACCAUAAGUGUCUUAUUUCUCUCAUUAUAGUCUAUCCAAGUGCAUGAUGGUAUGCAACCCAAAUGGACCAUGCCGGGUCGGGUCAAGUCUUACCAAUUAUAGUUAUGGACUUAGACAUUAAUCCAACAGUCUCCCACUUGGAUAAGUCUAAAACUAUUAUUGCGUAUGACUUCAGGAACCGACUGGCAAUCGUAGCUCUCAAAAGCUUCUGUCGAACUCUGACCUUGUAGAUGAACUCUGACCUUUGUCAAUGACUUGUCCAUUAGAUAAGGGAUCAUAUAUUCCUCCAUUCUAGAUAUCAUAUGGACUGAGACAUGGAUUAUAAUCAUUCUCUCUGUCCAUUUGUUGUUUCCCGAUUUCCGAUUUAUGACGACUGACUAAUUGAACAAAUCAAAUCAGUCCUGGCCCGGCCGAGCACUUCCAUUUGUCAUCAUCAAAUCAUCGAGGGGCCCACAGAUAUCGCUUUUAUCCCGAAGGUAAAAGGAAUGGAUAAACUUCGACUCAUAUGGCUUGUUCUACUACUUGUUGAAUCAUACACAAAGGCACGUUUUAUAACACCGAGUUACCGAAUGCGUUUUCGUGCAAUCAAUGUACAACCAACUCAUAGUAACAACUCAUAUCUCUAGGUUUGAAGAAUAUAAGAUAUUAUCAUCUCAUGAUCACUCGUGAUAAAAUCCAUGAAGUGAUUCCAAUGAGCGCGGGUUGAAUCCAAUACUCAGAACUUAUGAGCACUCAUGAGUGUUGUAGCCCUUUGUCCAACAUCUUAGACCUCUACAAGCCAACCCAUGACAGUCUUGAUUCAUAUCUACUUCCAACAUAUGACCGACUGUGGAUGGUUUGAAUAACUUAGUCAUUCCGAAAGAAUAACCUAGUUUAUUCUGGAAGUCAAAACAUGCAAAGUGAAACACAAGAAUAAAUGAAUCAAAUAUGGUAUCAAAACCUAUGAAUAUAAAUAAACACUUUUAUUUAUCACCAUACUGAUUACUCAUUAUUCAUUGUUUCGGUUUUAUCAACUUCAUACUUGAAUUAAAAACACUAGUUGUUCCAUGCUCUAAGCAUGUACACUAUGUUUUUCUUAAACAAUAGCUUUGCCAUACACCAAGUAUGCACUCUAUGUUUGUCUAUGAUCCUUACAUUGUGACUUAGAUCGUUUGAACAUAACUCCAAUGAUCAUCUUUUCACAGUCCCAAACCCUUACUGCAAAUGCAAGAAUUCCAAAUUCAUGCCAUUUACCGAAAUCUGUUUGAUUCUAAACUUAUAUGCAUUGAUCCUCUUGUAAUGAUUAUGCACAAAUUCACUUGGCAACAAUCAUUAUAGAGUAUUCCAAAGGAGAUCAACUCCUUGGAAACAUCCUUCUUACAUUAAGUUUCUUAAUCUUACACAAAUUGAUUGAACAACUUUCUAUCUUUGAACCAUUUUCAUAUUCCAUUUUGACUAUCACUUCUGAACAGGAGUUGCCUCCUUACAGAUUAUGUCAAUAUGGUCCUUC
rnacentral:lncRNA from 1 species